CGGAGAAACGGCUCCAGGGUUGCUAGGCGAUUGUUAAGGUCCGUGAUUCGCUUCUGUAAAUGUGAGACUUCUCUGAAGAGAUCAUUUAAGGACUCCGAAAGAGGACGAACCCUGUGGAGAAACACACAGUGUGUGAGACGAGUUGCAGUGUCCAUUGUGAUGCCUCCCUGAUCCUGCCGCUUCAUGGUCAACAACAAAAAGGAUAAAGCCCUUUCUUGACAGAUCAUACAGUAUUAGACCCAGCUGCUCAUCUGGACAUCUGGAGUAUUUUCACAGUGUUUUACCUGGAGUAGUCUGGUAGAAGAUCACUGGGCUGUGAAUGUAGAAGUGUCUUGAUUUCUUUGAAUAUACGUUUGCCCCAGACAUCCAACACUCGGGUAACACUGCGUAUGUUGGCCACAUUCACGUUCUCCGCUGUCGUAAGGGGAAAAACAAUGACGCUAUUGUUUAGAAAGUUCCAGUUCCCAUAAUCCACUUCAUUGCUUAUCCCAAGACAUGGAGACAAAAAUGCCAUGAUCACCAGCCAUGCCAUCAACAUCUUGGCCAAGGGAACGGUCAUGGAUACCAUGUGGCUGAGGUGUACAGAAAAAGGAGGCAGGGAGUAAUAUUAAACGGUUAAACAAUCUGAAAAUUUA